rnacentral:rRNA from 1 species
UACAGAGGUCUCAAGCGUUGUUCGGAAUCACUGGGCGUAAAGCGUGCGUAGGCGGUUCGUUAAGUCUGUUGUGAAAGCCCUGGGCUCAACCUGGGAACUGCAGUGGAUACUGGCGAGCUAGAGUACGGUAGAGGAAGGUGGAAUUCCCGGUGUAGCGGUGAAAUGCGUAGAGAUCGGGAGGAACACCAGUGGCGAAGGCGGCCUUCUGGACCAGUACUGACGCUGAGGUGCGAAAGCGUGGGGAGCAAACAGG